GAGUUUGAUCCUGGCUCAGGAUGAACGCUAGCGGGAGGCCUAACACAUGCAAGCCGAGCGGUAUUGUUUCUUCGGAAAUGAGAGAGCGGCGUACGGGUGCGGAACACGUGUGCAACCUGCCUUUAUCUGGGGGAUAGCCUUUCGAAAGGAAGAUUAAUACUCCAUAAUAUAUUGAACGGCAUCGUUUAAUAUUGAAAGCUCCGGCGGAUAGAGAUGGGCACGCGCAAGAUUAGCUAGUUGGUGAGGUAACGGCUCACCAAGGCGAUGAUCUUGGGGGCCUGAGAGGGUGAUCCCCACACUGGUACUGAGACACGGACCAGACUCCUACGGGAGGCAGCAGUGAGGAAUAUUGGUCAAUGGGUGCAAGCCUGAACCAGCCAUCCCGCGUGAAGGACGACUGCCCUAUGGGUUGUAAACUUCUUUUGUAUAGGGAUAAAACCUCCCUCGUGAGGGUAGCUGAAGGUACUAUACGAAUAGCACGGCUAACUCGUGC
rnacentral:rRNA from 1 species